UUACGGCCACAUCACGCUGAAACACUAGUUCUCGUACGAUCACCUUAAGUUAAGCAACGUUGAGCCUGGUCAGUAGCUAGAUGGGUGACCGCUUGUGAAUAUCAGA